rnacentral:rRNA from 1 species
GACGGAGGAUGCAAGUGUUAUCCGGAAUCACUGGGCGUAAAGCGUCUGUAGGUGGUCAAAUAAGUCAACUGUUAAAUCUUGAGGCUCAACCUCAAAACCGCAGUCGAAACUAUUAGACUAGAGUAUAGUAGGGGUAAAGGGAAUUUCCAGUGGAGCGGUGAAAUGCGUAGAGAUUGGAAAGAACACCGAUGGCGAAGGCACUUUACUGGGCUAUGACUGACACUCAGAGACGAAAGCUAGGGUAGCAAAUGGG